CUUUUACCUGUCCAGUGGAAUCAAAUCACUAAAGGUGAAGGAAAUUAGGGAUCAAGUUCAGAUUCAACUUUAGAUUUCUCUUUGCGGUUUCCCAGAGUCUUCUCAGACACCCGGGUGUGGUUUCCGGGAAAGGGGAUCUAUCAUUGAGCAGCUGGAGAAGGAGGCUCAGAGGACUCUUAUGCCUUCUCUCAAGAUUGAGACAUGCUGUGCCCUAUCUAACCUCCAAACAAGCUUCAAUGCCAUACAACACUCCUUCCGUGGCCUCCAACUGCUCUUAAACGCUAGUAAAACCAAAUGCAUGCUUUUCAACCGGUCGCUGCCUGCACCCGCAUGCCCGACUAGCAUCACCACCCUGGAUGGUUCCGACCUAGAAUAUGUGGACGUCUAUAAGUACCUAGGUGUCUGGCUAGACUGCAAACUCUCCUUCCAGACUCAUAUCAAACAUCUCCAAUCGGAAAUCAAAUCAAGAGUCGGCUUUCUAUUCCGCAACAAAGCCUCCUUCACUCACGCCGCCAAGCUUACCCUAGUAAAACUGACUAUCCUACCGAUCCUCGACUUCGGCGAUGUCAUCUACAAAAUGGCUUCCAACACUCUACUCAGCAAACUGGAUGCAGUCUAUCACAGUGCCAUCCGUUUCGUCACUAAAGCACCUUAUACCACCCACCACUGCGACUUGUAUGCUCUAGUCGGCUGGCCCUCGCUACAUAUUCGUCGCCAGACCCACUGGCUCCAGGUCAUCUACAAGUCCAUGCUAGGUAAAGCUCCGCCUUAUCUCAGCUCACUGGUCACGAUGGCAACACCCAUCCGUAGCACGCGCUCCAGCAGGUGUAUCUCACUGAUCAUCCCUAAAGCCAACACCUCAUUUGGCCGCCUUUCGUUCCAGUACUCUGCUGCCUGUGACUGGAACGAAUUGCAAAAAUCGCUGAAGUUGGAGACUUUUAUCUCCCUCACCAACUUCAAACAUCAGCUAUCUGAGCAGCUAACCGAUCGCUGCAGCUGUAAAUAGUCUAUUGGUAAAUAGCCCACCCUUUCUCACCUACCUCAUCCCCAUACUGUUUUUAUUUAUUUACUUUUCUGCUCUUUUGCACACCAAUAUCUCUACCUGUACAUGACCAUCUGAUCAUUCAUCACUCCAGUGUUAAUCUGCAAAAUUGUAAUUAUUUGCCUACCUCCUCAUGCCUUUUGCACACAUUGUAUAUAGACUCCCCCUUUGGUUUCUACUGUGUUAUUGACUUGUUAAUUGUUUACUCCAUGUGUAACUCUUUGUUGUCUGCUCACACUGCUAUGCUUUAUCUUGGCCAGGUCGCAGUUGCAAAUGAGAACUUGUUCUCAACUAGCCUACCUGGUUAAAUAAAGGUGAAAUAAAAAAAUAAAAAAUAAAUGAUGCAAUGCAGAAUACGGCUUCACACAGAACAAUCACC
rnacentral:lncRNA from 1 species